CAUGCGUGGCUGACUGUGGGCGAGCGAAUCCUGGAACAUCACAUGUUUUGUUUGUGGAGUGGUGUGUACAUUGUUUGUAGAGUGGUGUGUACAUUGUGUGUAGAGUGGUAUGUACAUUGUAGAGUGGUACGUACAUUGAGAGUGGUGUGUACAUUGUAGAGUGGUGUGUACAUUGUUUGCAGAGUGGUGUGUACAUUGUGUGUAGAGUGGUGUGUUCAUUGUAGAGUGGUAUGUACAUGGAGAGUGGUGUGUACAUUGUAGAGUGGUAUGUACAUUGUAGAGUGGUGUGUACAUUGUGUGUAGAGUGGUGUGUACAUUGUGUGUAGAGGGGUGUGUACAUUGUAGAGUGGUGUGUACAUUGUGUGUAGAGUGCUGUGUUCAUUGUAGAGUGGUGUGUACAUUGUUUGCAGAGUGGUGUGUACAUUGUAGAGUGGUGUGUACAUUGUAGAGUGGGGUGUACAUUGUUUGUAGAGUGGUGUGUACAUUGUCGAGUGGUGUGUACAUUGUUUGCAGAGUGGUGUGUACAUUGUAGAGUGGUGUGUUCAUUGUGUGUAGAGUGGUGUGUACAUUGAGAGUGGUGUGUACAUUGAGAGUGGUGUGUACAUUGUAGAGUGGUAUGUUCAUUGUGUGUAGAGUGGUGUGUACAUUGAGAGUGGUAUGUACAUUGAGAGUGCUGUGUACAUUGUAGAGUGGUGUGUACAUUGUAGAGUGGUGUGUACAUUGUGUGGAGAGUGGUGUGUGCAUUGUAGAGUGGUGUGUACAUUGUGUGGAGAGUGGUGUGUACAUUGUAGAGUGGUGUGUACAUUGUGUGUAGAGUGGUGUGUACAUUGUAGAGUGGUGUGUACAUUGUGUGUAGAGUGGUGUGUACAUUGUAGAGUGGUGUGUACAUUGUGUAGAGAGGUGUGUACAUUGUAGAGUGGUGUGUACAUUGUGUGUAGAGUGGUGUGUUCAGUGUAGAGUGGUGUGUUCAUUGUAGCAUGGUGUGUACAUUGUGUGUAGAGUGGUGUGUUCAGUGUAGAGUGGUGUGUUCAUUGUAGCAUGGUGUGUACAUUGUAGAGUGGUGUGUACAUUGUAGAGUGGUGUGUAGAGUGGUGUGUUCAUUGUAGAGUGGUGUAUACAUUGUGUGUAGAGUGGUGGGUAAAUUGUAGAGUGGCAUGUACAUGGUGUGUAGAGUGGUGUGUUCAUUGUAGAGUGGUGUGUACAUUGUUUGCAGAGUGGUGUGUACAUUGUGUGUAGAGUGGUGUGUUCAUUGUAGAGUGGUGUGUUCAUUGUGUGUAGAGUGGUGUGUACAUUGUGUGGAGAGUGGUGUGUACAUUGUGUGUAGAGUGGUGUGUUCAUUGUAGAGGGGUGUGUACAUUGAGAGUGGUGUGUACAUUGUGUGUAGAGUGGUGUGUUCAUUGUAGAGUGGUGUGUACAUUGAGAGUGGUGUGUACAUUGUGUGUAGAGUGGUGUGUACAUUGAGAGUCGUGUGUACAUUAAGAGUGGUGUGUACAUUGUAGAGUGGUAUGUACAUUGAGAGUGGUGUGUACAUUGAGAGUGGUGUGUACAUUGUGUGUAGAGUGGUGUGUUCAUUGUAGAGUGGUGUGUACAUUGUAGAGUGGUGUGUACAUUGUGUGGAGAGUGGUGUGUACAUUGUAGAGUGGUGUGUACAUUGUGUGGAGAGUGGUGUGUACAUUGUAGAGGUGUGUACAUUGUGUGGAGAGUGGUGUGUACAUUGUAGAGUGGUGUGUACAUUGUGUGUAGAGUGGUGUGUUCAUUGUAGAGUGGUGUGUACAUUGUGGAGUGGUGUACAUGGUUUACACACGUGUGUGCAUGGGGACAAGACUUGGAUGGAGUUUGCCAUCCCCUGUUA
rnacentral:lncRNA from 10 species